rnacentral:piRNA from 1 species
CACCGUAGACAUGAUCCCCUUCAGCCC